AGGGUGGAGCACUGAGACAGUGGUCAGGGUGGUGAUUGUAGCGCUGGCCACCCUGGGGAUGCUAUUGGUUCUGAGGUGGUACUGGUCCUGGACGAGACGCCAAGCAAACAUCUGUUUCAGAGGAGUCCACCUGCCUCUGUGUGGAAAAUAUGCAGACAAUAAUAUUAAAAAUGCCAGUUAUUUGUGCUUCGACAGACACAGUCACAGAGCUGAGCACAGCCAUGAACAGAACCGUAGAUGCGUAGUGUGACAGUACGAUUUCACAGGAUCCUAUUAAGCUUGCACAAGCUGUUCCAGAACAAGACGUAGCAAAAUUGAUACUUCCUCUUUCUUUAGCCAUUUCCUGUUCCAUAUACCUUGUAGAAAGGCUAGACACCAGUAAGAAGGGCUGUGUUGGGCAGAAGUUAGACACCAGUAAGAAGGCUGUGUUGGACAGAAGUUAGACACCAGUAAGAAGACUGUGUUGGGCAGAAGUUAGACACCAGUAAGACGGCUGUGUACGGAGGAAGUUAGAGACCAGUAAGAAGGCUGUGUUGGGCAGAAGUUAGAGACCAGUAAGAAGGCUGUGUUGGGCAGAAGUUAGAGACCAGUAAGAAGGCUGUGUUGGGCAGAAGUUAGACACCAGUAAGAAGGCUGUGUUGGGCAGAAGUUAGACACCAGUAAGAAGGCUGUGUUGAGCAGAAGUUAGACACCAGUAAGAAGGCUGUGUAGGGCAGAAGCCAUGGGGAUGGUACUGUGGUGGACCCUACUCUGGAUAUUGAGAUACUGUCACACACUUUCAGCUGAGGUGUUGGUGCAGCACAAAUACUUCAUUUCUGGGGAUUAUCAGAGGGUCUCUCUACAAGCCCCUGCUGAGCCCAAAGGGACAGAAUUCAUCUGGGAGUGGACAUCUCAUGACGGACGAUACACAAACGCUUGUAUAAUAACUAUGCAGUCCAAUGGAGUGUAUUCAUGGCACCACAGGGCGCCCUUUUCAAAACAAAGAAAGUAUAACCUUUCUCUGAAACCAGAGUUAAAAAAUGCAGGAGUUUUUACUUUCAUUCGAACUAAACCAGAGAAAGUGCACUUGGCACAGAUUGAAGUGUUUGCUAUAGAAGGUAAAUUUGCUCUUUUAUGCAUUUGGCAUAUAAUAACUUGAUAUGCAUGAUGCAUUUUUGAUGCUACAUGCAGUGCAGUAUAUAAGUAUUUGGACAGUGGUAAAAUUUAUUUUCUUUUGGCUUCUUGAGGAAAAGGUUUAGAAAGCUCUCUGCAUCAAUUGCUCUUUGCUUCUGCAGUGAAACCAUUACACUGGCACACAGAACAUGAAGGAUCUGAUGUGACCAUGAGCUGUGAGGUAUCCCACCUUCCAGAUUCAGCCACACUGGCCUGGGAACGGGACAGAGAACCCACUGCUAACACAACGCUGAUCUACAACAACACUGCCCACAUCAUCAUCCACAGUGUUGACCAACACAGUGAGGGAACCUAUAACUGUACACUCCGACGGAACGGAGCGCUUAUUUUCAGCGUUCCCAAAGAAUUUAUA